GACGAAGGAUGCAAGCGUUAUCCGGAUUCAUUGGGUUUAAAGGGAGCGUAGGUGGCCUUAUAAGUCAGUGGUGAAAUCUCUCGGCUUAACUGAGAAAUUGCCAUUGAUACUGUAGGGCUUGAGUACAGUUGCUGUGGGCGGAAUAUGACAUGUAGUGGUGAAAUACAUAGGGAUGUCAUAGAACACCGAUUGCGAAGGCAGCUCACAAAACUGUAACUGACACUGAGGCUCGAAAGUGCGGGGAUCAAACAGG
rnacentral:rRNA from 1 species